UACGGAAGGCAGCAGUGGGGAAUAUUGCACAAUGGGCGAAAGCCUGAUGCAGCUAUGCCGCGUGUAUGAAGAAGGCCUUAGGGUUGUAAAGUACUUUCAUCGGGGAGGAAAAAACAAAACUAAUAAUUUUAUUUCUUGACGUUACCCGAAAAAGAAGCACCGGCUAACUCCGUGCCAGCAGCCGCGGUAAUACGGAGGGUGCUAGCGUUAAUCAGAAUUACUGGGCGUAAAGAGCACGUAGGUGGUUUUUUUAAGUCAGAUGUGAAAUCCCUGGGCUUAACCUAGGAACUGCAUUUUGAAACUGAAAUACUAGAGUAUCGUAGAGGGAGGUAGAAUUCUAGGUGUAGCGGUGAAAUGCGUAGAUAUCUGGAGGAAUACCUGUGGCGAAAGCGGCCUCCUAAACGAAUACUGACACUGAGGUGCGAAAGCGUGGGGAGCAAACAGGGAUUAGAUCC
rnacentral:rRNA from 1 species